AUAAUGAUUUUGGAUCAUUUAUUACCAUCAAGCAUUCUUAAAAAUUUGAUGCAUUUUUUACUUACCAAAAUGAAAUCUAAGUGAAAUAUACUGUAUGCCAAGAGUGUGAUUUGAACCAAGGACAAGAUAUUUUCAGGACAUGUAUCUAGGACCUGUUUAGACUUUAACACUCUCAUUACAGUAUGUUGCAGGUCAAAUUGACCUACAAGUUUUUUUUAGGGUUAAAUGUUAUAUACUGUAGGACUUUUUUGUUUGCAGCUGUGAGACAUAUUUAAGUCUCACACUCUAAUAUAUUGUCUUGACAUCAUCUAUAACAGUGGUCCCAACCCCCGGGCCGCGGACCGGUACCAGUCCAUGGACCAAAUGGUACCGGGCCGCCCAAGGAACAUUAAAUUAUUUCCAUUUUUUUUUUUUUUUUACUGUGGCGUAUUUCUCUUGGGUUUGCGCGACUUUCCAUAGACGAGAGGUUAACUGAGAGGUGAGAGACGUCACCUAAAGCCGCACCAAUACCGCGCAUGCGCAAAAUAUGUGAUAUCAGGGCUGUUUUAGGGGAUGUCUGGAGUAGUGCUGCAACGACGCGUCGACGUCAUCGAUUACGUCGACUACGAAAAUACGUCGACAUGCGUGAAAUGCGUCGACGCGUCACACUGUUUACAUUCAUCUCGCGUAACGGCGGCUUCUGCUCCUGGGAAUGGAGAAAGUUCCAGUCUAUCACAAAAAGCUAGACCACGAUUAUCAAAAGUAUGGGAAUACUUUAAACAGAGGCCAAAUAAAAUGGCAGCACCUCAGAAGAAGAAAUCCUGGCGCUCUCCGACCUCAAAAGGACGAGCCAUCUUUGUAUAAAAGAGGUGGUUUAUUUAUCCAAUAAACAUCCUGAAAGAGACGAAACAAUAGCUUCUGACCGAAUGCUGAAUGGAGCAGGUAUUGGGCAAAGGCUGUUUGACUUAAAGCAUUAUCUCUCUGACUUGCUGAAAGUCAUCAAUCCCUUUGCUGAGUGAAUAAGACCAGGACGGAGCUCUUCACCGCUGAAAUACUGAAACCGUCUUAUACUGAAUAUUACUAAAAAAUUUAACGUUCCCAAUAUACUGAGGGGAAAAAUCCUAGUGAUGUUCAGUAGACUUCAAAGUAAUCAUGGGUGAAAAUGGCUUAAAUACUUCUAUAUAACUGAAAUCUUUAAUGAACUUUAUUUUUAAUCAAACUCUUAAUUUUAACUUCUGAUAUUUUGGUGGAGGGAAAAUUAAGAUCACUAUAUUAAUUAUUUCAAAUGAAUCUGUAUUUACCUUCAAAUUACUGAUUAUUAAUUAUUACUAUAUAACUAACCACAUUUAA